rnacentral:lncRNA from 1 species
UUGUGGAGGGUGGUUCCUGGGACAACGCCCAUGCCGUGAUCAGGAACGGGGUCAGCAGGAGUCAGGUGGGGAAGUGCCAGGUGUCCACUGCCACGACCAACACGUUACUCACACUCACGGCACAAGAAUGGCCUCUGUACCCUGUGUGUAGGCAUAUCCAGGCACAGUCGCUUGUAUGUCUGAGACCUCAAGCUGGAGAGUGCUGAUGGCCAACAUGCUGGUCACCUCUCCACAGUCCUUCCUCCUCCUGGACAACACCCCUGCUCUCUCUGGAUGGUCCUGAGCUAAGCCCGGAAGAACUUUCCAGGCCCAGGUUCCCCAUGCGGGGCUGCCUGAGCACCCCCACCCUAUGGCCAGCCCUGCUGCCCUGGCUUCCACCUCCAGAUCCUUCCUGCCAUGUCCCCCUCCAAUCAGAGCCGACCCACACUGUGUCCCUCCCAGUGGCUCUACUGCCUACUGAACACGUGCACCAUCACCGCCGUGGGGCCCACAGAGUCAAGGCUAUAAAGAGGGACUGAGAACACCGUGACGCCCUGGCCUGCGCACCCUCCUCUGCUCCAUCUGGGUCUGUCCGGAUGGCAGAGGCUCAGAGGGUCUGCCCCUACCAGAUGGUGGAGGCUCAGAAUGUCUGAGCCAGAAAAAGCAUGAAAGAAAACUUAGCCUUCCUCCUCCCAGUUAACAGGCUGGGUCCUGAGGGCACAGUGUCCAGCACGGAGGACACACAGUAAAUAUUCCCAGAAGGAGUGAUGGGUGAACGAAUAAAUAGAAUCUCACCCUGCCACCAUGAUUAAAUUCAGCCCCAAACUUACCUGUCCCAUUGUUUCCAUAUCCUGCCACCUCUGAGGCCUAAUCUGAAGAACUGAUUUGUGCCAGUGGACGAGCACUAUUUCUCUAGGUGAGACAUGCAGGUGUCAACAGGAAAUGUCCUGAGAUGUAAUUCUUCAACCCAGGAAGCCACUCCAAUCAAGAGAACAUAAAGCAAUGGUGAUGGGAUGUGGGGGUUCCAUGGGGCUUGGAUGCCCUGAGGAGGGCCUCAAAUCACAGAAUGAUGAAGGUCUUCUGGAUGCAGUGGCAGGGCAGGAGAGGUAUUGCCCUGGGACUCGAGAUGGGACCACAGCCAAUUGCUCACUCAGCCAUGGCCUGUGGGUCUGACACUGGGACCUCACUAACCCUCUUUUAACACUCCUAUCUGUAAGUAGGGAUCAUGACCCACACUUUGCAGGGGUUCUGAUGCUGCAAAAUUCUGGCGCUUUCUACAUGAUAAGGUCUUUGCUCACCAAAUGGAAGAGACUGCGUGCAGGUAGCAUGGGCCUGCCUACUGCAGGUGGGGUGCUUUGGGCUGCAAGUAACAGAAAAUCCAACUCAAAGUGAAUUGUGUGAUAAAGACAAUGCACCACCUCGCUUAUCAUGGUCUGAGUUCCUCCAUGAGGGUUGCCGCCUGGUGCGUCCUCUGUAAGCUCCCUGAAGCAGGGGCCUAGGCUGACCUUUUUUCUCCACUGCCCCCGAGAGCAUAGACCAGGGCCUGGCACAGAGAAGGCGUCCAGUGAGGAUUCCACCCAGGACACCAUCAAACCCUCAUCGCUACAUGGUCUAUUAAGUUGUGUUCCCCCAACAGCAGUUAAAGAAACCAAAGCUUGGCCAGGCACGGUGGCUCACGCCUGUAAUCCCAGCACUUUGGGAG